UACGGGGGGGGCAAGCGUUGUUCGGAAUUACUGGGCGUAAAGGGCUUGUAGGUGGCCAAUUAAGUCAGACGUGAAAUCCCUCGGCUUAACCGGGGAACUGCGUCUGAUACUGGAUGGCUUGAGUGUGGGAGAGGGAUGCGGAAUUCCAGGUGUAGCGGUGAAAUGCGUAGAUAUCUGGAGGAACACCGGUGGCGAAGGCGGCAUCCUGGACCAUUACUGACACUGAUAAGCGAAAGCCAGGGGAGCAAACGGG
rnacentral:rRNA from 1 species